GACGAACGCUGGCGGCGUGCUUAACACAUGCAAGUCGAACGGAAAGGCCCUGCUUUUGUGGGGUGCUCGAGUGGCGAACGGGUGAGUAACACGUGAGUAACCUGCCCUUGACUUUGGGAUAACUUCAGGAAACUGGGGCUAAUACCGGAUAGGAGCUCCUGCUGCAUGGUGGGGGUUGGAAAGUUUCGGCGGUUGGGGAUGGACUCGCGGCUUAUCAGCUUGUUGGUGGGGUAGUGGCUUACCAAGGCUUUGACGGGUAGCCGGCCUGAGAGGGUGACCGGCCACAUUGGGACUGAGAUACGGCCCAGACUCCUACGGGAGGCAGCAGUGGGGAAUAUUGCAGAAUGGGCGGAAGCCGGAUGCAGCAACGCCGCGUGCGGGAUGACGGCCUUCGGGUUGUAAACCGCUUUCGCCUGUGACGAAGCGUGAGUGACGGUAAUGGGUAAAGAAGCACCGGCUAACUACGUG
rnacentral:rRNA from 1 species